GGAGAUGUAGCUCAGUGGUAGAGCACAUAUUUAGAGUAUAUGAGGUCCCGGGUUCGAUUCUCGGCAUCUCCU